UGAAGAAUGCAAUGGGCUCAGCUCAAUGGU
rnacentral:piRNA from 1 species